rnacentral:lncRNA from 1 species
CAAGUGCUGCACGUUUUUGGGCCUUAAUGCUGCAAACAGACCUUUGCAAAUGUUGUUUGUGGUCUGUACACCAAUUGCUAGCUUUGUCUCACUUGUUUCAAGCCAUUUGCAAAAUUUGUCACAUAUGCAUUUUGGUCCAUAAUUGUGGCAUAAUGGUGAUAUGAACAUGGUUUAAGAAUUGGAACAUGUCUCAAAUUUGAUAUAAAAGCAAUCUCAAUUGGCCAAAUGGUGAAAAAAGUUUUAAUUCAAAAAGUCAAAGUUUGGUCAAAC